CGUGCUUAACACAUGCAAGUCGAACGGUGAACGAGGGAGCUUGCUCCCUCCGGAUCAGUGGCGAACGGGUGAGUAACACGUGAGCAAUCUGCCCUGGACUCUGGGAUAAGCGUUGGAAACGACGUCUAAUACCGGAUACGAGGCGUGGGGGCAUCCCCAACGCCCGGAAAGAACUUCGGUCCAGGAUGGCCAUGCGUAAGAUUAGAUAGUUGGCGAGGUAACGGCUCACCAAGUCUACGAUCUUUAGGGGCUCUGAGAGGAGAAUCCCCCACACUGGCACUGAGAUACGGGCCAGACUCCUACGGGAGGCAGCAGUAGGGAAUAUUGGGCAAUGGGCGGAAGCCUGACCCAGCCACGCCGCGUGCAGGAAGACGGCCCUCUGGGUUGUAAACUGCUUUUAACUGGGAAGAAAGUAGUCCUUGCGAGGAAAGUUGACGGUACCAGUUGAAUAAGCCACGGCUAACUACGUGCCAGCCGCCGCAGUAA
rnacentral:rRNA from 1 species